rnacentral:rRNA from 1 species
UACGGAGGGGGCUAGCGUUGUUCGGAAUUACUGGGCGUAAAGCGUACGUAGGCGGCUUUGUAAGUUAGAGGUGAAAGCCCAGAGCUCAACUCUGGAAUUGCCUUUAAGACUGCAUCGCUUGAAUCGUGGAGAGGUUAGUGGAAUUCCGAGUGUAGAGGUGAAAUGCGCAGAUAUCAGGAAGAACACCAAUGGCGAAGGCAGCUCUCUGGGACGGUACUGACGCUGAGACGCGAAAGCGUGGGGAGCGAACAGG